CCCUUUCCUGCGGAAUAGCUCCGGGAAACUGGAAUUAAUACCGCAUACGCCCUACGGGGGAAAGAUUUAUCGGGGAAGGAUUGGCCCGCGUUGGAUUAGCUAGUUGGUGGGGUAAAGGCCUACCAAGGCGACGAUCCAUAGCUGGUCUGAGAGGAUGAUCAGCCACAUUGGGACUGAGACACGGCCCAAACUCCUACGGGAGGCAGCAGUGGGGAAUAUUGGACAAUGGGCGCAAGCCUGAUCCAGCCAUGCCGCGUGAGUGAUGAAGGCCUUAGGGUUGUAAAGCUCUUUCACCGAUGAAGAUAAUGACGGUAGUCGGAGAAGAAGCCCCGGCUAACUUCGUGCCAGCAGCCGCGGUAAUACGAAGGGGGCUAGCGUUGUUCGGAAUUACUGGGCGUAAAGCGCACGUAGGCGGAUAUUUAAGUCAGGGGUGAAAUCCCGCAGCUCAACUGCGGAACUGCCUUUGAUACUGGGUAUCUUGAGUAUGGAAGAGGUAAGUGGAAUUCCGAGUGUAGAGGUGAAAUUCGUAGAUAUUCGGAGGAACACCAGUGGCGAAGGCGGCUUACUGGUCCAUUA
rnacentral:rRNA from 1 species